AUAUCCAAUUUUAUUAAAAUAAUACCAAAAAUAUAUAUAUUUGUUUUUUAUUGGGAACAACACUUUGUCAGGUAAAUAAAUUGCAAUUAAUACGUGAUUAGCAAAAAAAUAUUGCAGCAAACACGUGAUUGAGAUUUCUUCUCAGAUAACAACUUCUCUCUAAACAAAGAAGAUCGGUGGCCGUAGCAGCUCGGAGGAGAGUCCCGGCGGCAGCAUAUCAAAAGUGGUGGACAGAUCGGAUGAGGCAGAGUCAAGAUGCAGCGGAGGCGCGAUGAUCACCAUAAAACUGUAGCUCGUACCGGUAAUUAUCAGGGUCCUUGCCUACCGCGACGACGUAUAUAAUCUUGAUGCGUAGAUAUUGCGAGUAAGGAGAAAAAACAGUUAUGGUGUGAUGAUUAGAGCAAUAAGCAAAGAGAAAAAACAGUUGAAGCACAUAACAUGUUUGUUGAUAUGCUUGAGAGAAAAUAUAAACCGAAUUCUGCUCUUUCCUGUAUAGUUAUUGACAUGUUGUGCAAAGAUGGGAAAGUAGAACAAAAGGCCAAUUGCUAUUUUGGUAUAACAUUUGUAUAUUGUUUGUAUAAUUUUAAUAUACCAUUAAAAACUUUAAAGAGUUUA